rnacentral:sRNA from 1 species
UGUGCAGUGCGUUCGGUGUGCAGUGCGAUUCCGCCGAUGUGCAGUGAUAUAUAUUUUUUCUGAUUUUUUUUUUUUUUUGCUCUGAAAUAUAUUCCGUGCAGACGAUAGUGUGCCCAAGGAUAUGGCUAGCACGAUCGAAACCUGCUGCUGGCGAAAUCAAUUCAAUAUCGCCCCACCUCGCCGAUAAGAGCGGGCAUUUCUUCACGUAGCACUCCAUGGAAUCGGAGUGAGAAUCAUCGAUAAGCAAUUUCUUUUGCGCCCUGGCCCCAGGACCCAGGACCCAGGACCCACGACCAGGACCAAGUCAAAGCUGACGCCUCGCCUCGUCUGAACUCUGGCCUCCCCCCCUGCCUGCUCCCAGGGCAGGGAUGCCACCCAUCCCGAUCCGACUCGAUGCUGUUGCAAUAUUAUGACUCCUGCUGUUUGUUCUGACAGCCGGCUGGGUGGAUGGGGGGAGGGGCCGGGGAAAAGCGGCAAAAGAAAUGUUUAUUGUGAAGCAUUUUCUAUGGCAAUUGCAACGAGCCUGCCCCCGGACCCGGACCCGGCCCCGACAGCUCGCUCCAGCCAUUCGCAUUAAAUGAGGAAACCAAU